UACGUAGGGUGCGAGCGUUAAUCGGAAUUACUGGGCGUAAAGCGCACGUAGGCGGCUUUGUAAGUUAGAGGUGAAAGCCCGGAGCUCAACUCCGGAACUGCCUUUAAGACUGCAUCGCUUGAACGUCGGAGAGGUAAGUGGAAUUCCGAGUGUAGAGGUGAAAUUCGUAGAUAUUCGGAAGAACACCAGUGGCGAAGGCGACUUACUGGACGACUGUUGACGCUGAGGUGCGAAAGCGUGGGGAGCAAACAGG
rnacentral:rRNA from 1 species